rnacentral:tRNA from 1 species
CGAAAUCGGUAGACGCUACGAACUAAAAUCCGUCGACUUUAAAAAUCGUGAGGGUUCAAGUCCCUCUAUCCCCA